rfam:Methanobrevibacter sp. AbM4, complete genome.
UUUAUGGCUAGACUGGAGGGUUAGGGGUCCUCUGUAAGCACAGAUCCCCUUUGGUGCGGUCGAAAUCCGAAAGGCGGCUUUUGGAUAUAAUAAAGGCCUUAAAAAGUGAUAUGGAAACUUCGUCCUGCAGGAUUAAUGGUGGUAUGAUUUUUACUGGAGGGUAGGAAUUAAUUACCUUUAUUGUGGGAAUGUGUUAGGCCCGGAAGGGAGCAGCUCUACUAUGAACAAUUAAUGCUUGUAGAGUAGCGGAGUGGAGUCGGUUUUUGAGAUAACCUUUAUUGUUGAAUUUAGUCCACUUUCGGAUGUGCCAUUUU